GAUGAACGCUAGCGGCAGGCCUAAUACAUGCAAGUCGAGCGGUAAGGCCCUUUCGGGGGUACACGAGCGGCGAACGGGUGAGUAACACGUGGGUGACCUGCCCUCAGCUCUGGGAUAAGCCCGGGAAACUGGGUCUAAUACUGGAUAUGACUCCACGGUGCAUGCCGUGGGGUGGAAAGCCUUGUGCGGCUGAGGAUGGGCCCGNGGCCUAUCAGCUUGUUGGUGGGGUGAUGGCCUACCAAGGCGACGACGGGUAGCCGGCCUGAGAGGGCGACCGGCCACACUGGGACUGAGACACGGCCCAGACUCCUACGGGAGGCAGCAGUGGGGAAUUGUUCGCAAUGGGCGCAAGCCUGACGACGCAACGCCGCGUGGGGAUGAAGGUCUCGGAUGUAAACCCUGUCGAGCGGGACGAAUGGCUCACGAGCUAAUCAUCGUGAGAAUGACGGUACCG
rnacentral:rRNA from 1 species